rnacentral:rRNA from 1 species
UACGAAGGGGGCUAGCGUUGUUCGGAAUUACUGGGCGUAAAGCGCGCGUAGGCGGUUCUUUAAGUCAGGGGUGAAAGCCCAGAGCUCAACUCUGGAAUUGCCUUUGAAACUAGAGAACUUGGGUACGGGAGAGGUGAGUGGAAUUCCGAGUGUAGAGGUGAAAUUCGUAGAUAUUCGGAAGAACACCAGUGGCGAAGGCGGCUCACUGGCCCGUUACCGACGCUCAGGCGCGACAGCGUGGGGAGCAAACAGG